GACGUAGGGCGCGAGCGUUGUCCGGAUUUAUUGGGCGUAAAGAGCUCGUAGGCGGUCGAUCAAGUCGCGUGUGAAAGCCCCCGGCUCAACUGGGGGGGGGUCACGCGAUACUGAUCGACUUGAAGGCAGGAGAGGGAAGCGGAAUUCCCGGUGUAGUGGUGAAAUGCGUAGAUAUCGGGAGGAACACCAGUGGCGAAGGCGGCUUCCUGGCCUGUUCUUGACGCUGAGGCGGCGAAAGCUAGGGGAGCAAACGGGG
rnacentral:rRNA from 1 species